AGUGAACGCUGGCGGUAGGCCUAACACAUGCAAGUCGAACGGCAGCACAGUAAGAGCUUGCUCUUACGGGUGGCGAGUGGCGGACGGGUGAGGAAUACAUCGGAAUCUACUUUUUCGUGGGGGAUAACGUAGGGAAACUUACGCUAAUACCGCAUACGACCUACGGGUGAAAGCAGGGGAUCUUCGGACCUUGCGCGAUUGAAUGAGCCGAUGUCGGAUUAGCUAGUUGGCGGGGUAAAGGCCCACCAAGGCGACGAUCCGUAGCUGGUCUGAGAGGAUGAUCGGCCACACUGGAACUGAGACACGGUCCAGACUCCUACGGCAGGCAGCAGUGGGGAAUAUUGGACAAUGGGCGCAAGCCUGAUCCAGCCAUGCCGCGUGGGUGAAGAAGGCCUUCGGGUUGUAAAGCCCUUUUGUUGGGAAAGAAAAGCAGCAGGUUAAUACCCCGCUGUUCUGACGGUACCCAAAGAAUAAGCACCGGCUAACUUCGUG
rnacentral:rRNA from 1 species